ACUCACCGCGUUCCCUGGUGGUCUAGUGGUUAGGAUUCGGCGCUCUCACCGCCGCGGCCCGGGUUCGAUUCCCGGUC
ensembl:miRNA